AUUGAACGCUGGCGGCAGGCCUAACACAUGCAAGUCGAGCGGAGCGGCGGACGGGUGAGUAAUGCCUAGGAAUCUGCCUGGCAGUGGGGGAUAACGUCCGGAAACGGGCGCUAAUACCGCAUACUAUCAGAUGAGCCUAGGUCGGAUUGGCUAGCUGGUGGGGUAAAGGCCUACCAAGGCGACGAUCCGUAACUGGUCUGAGAGGAUGAUCAGUCACGCUGGUACUGAGACACGGUCCAGACUCCUACGGUGUGCAGCAGUGGGGAAUGUUGGGCAAUGGGCGAAAGCCGGAUACAGCCAUGCCACGUGUGUGGAGAAGGUCUUCGGAUUGUAAAGCACGUUAAGUUGGGAGGCGUUACCAUCAGAAUAAGCACCGGCUAACUUCGUGCCAGCAGCCGCGGUAAUUC
rnacentral:rRNA from 1 species